rnacentral:rRNA from 1 species
UUACCGAGUGCGGGCCCCUCGGGGCCCAACCUCCCACCCGUGUUGCCCGAACCUAUGUUGCCUCGGCGGGCCCCGCGCCCGCCGACGGCCCCCCUGAACGCUGUCUGAAGUUGCAGUCUGAGACCUAUAACGAAAUUAGUUAAAACUUUCAACAACGGAUCUCUUGGUUCCGGCAUCGAUGAAGAACGCAGCGAAAUGCGAUAACUAAUGUGAAUUGCAGAAUUCAGUGAAUCAUCGAGUCUUUGAACGCACAUUGCGCCCUCUGGUAUUCCGGAGGGCAUGCCUGUCCGAGCGUCAUUGCUGCCCUCAAGCCCGGCUUGUGUGUUGGGCCCCGUCCCCCCCGCCGGGGGGACGGGCCCGAAAGGCAGCGGCGGCACCGCGUCCGGUCCUCGAGCGUAUGGGGCUUCGUCACCCGCUCUAGUAGGCCCGGCCGGCGCCAGCCGACCCCCAACCUUUAAUUAUCUCAGGUUGACCUCGGAUCAGGUAGGGAUACCCGCUGAACUUAAGCAUAUCAAUAAGCGGAGGAAAAGAAACCAACCGGGAUUGCCCUAGUAACGGCGAGUGAAGCGGCAAGAGCUCAAAUUUGAAAGCUGGCCCCCUCGGGGUCCGCAUUGUAAUUUGCAGAGGAUGCUUCGGGAACGGCCCCCAUCUAAGUGCCCUGGAACGGGCCGUCAUAGAGGGUGAGAAUCCCGUCUGGGAUGGGGUGGCCGCGCCCGUGUGAAGCUCCUUCGACGAGUCGAGUUGUUUGGGAAUGCAGCUCUAAUUGGGUGGUAA